rnacentral:rRNA from 1 species
CAGGAUGAACGCUGGCGGUCUGCUUAACACAUGCAAGUCGAACGGGUUCCUUAGGGAGCUAGUGGCGGACGGGUGAGUAACGCGUGAGAAUCUACCAAAAGGACUGGGACAACCACUGGAAACGGUGGCUAAUACCGGAUGAGCCGAAAAGUAAAAAGGGAAACCUGCCUUUUGAAGAGCUCGCGUCUGAUUAGCUAGUUGGUGAGGUAAGAGCUCACCAAGGCAGCGAUCAGUAGCUGGUCUGAGAGGAUGACCAGCCACACUGGGACUGAGACACGGCCCAGACUCCUACGGGAGGCAGCAGUGGGGAAUUUUCCGCAAUGGGCGAAAGCCUGACGGAGCAAGACCGCGUGAGGGAAGAAGGCUCUUGGGUCGUAAACCUCUUUUAUCAGGGAAGAAAAAAAUGACGGUACCUGAAGAAUCAGCCUCGGCUAACUCCGUGCCAGCAGCCGCGGUAAUACGGAGGAGGCAAGCGUUAUCCGGAAUUAUUGGGCGUAAAGCGUCCGCAGGUGGCUUAUCAAGUCUGCUGUCAAAGAGUGGGGCUUAACCCCAUAAAGGCAGUGGAAACUGAGAAGCUAGAGUGCCGUAGGGGUAGAGG